GACGGAGGGUGCAAGCGUUGUUCGGAAUUACUGGGCGUAAAGCGUACGCAGGCGGCGGGUUAAGUCGAAUGUUAAAGCCUGGGCUCAACCCCAGAGAUGCACUCGAUACUGGCUUGCUAGAGGGUGAUAGAGGAAAGCGGAAUUCCCAGUGUAGCGGUGAAAUGCGUAGAUAUUGGGAGGAACAUCAGUAGCGAAGGCGCUUUCUGGGUCACACCUGACGCUGAGGUACGAAAGCGUGGGGAGCAAACGGG
rnacentral:rRNA from 1 species